AUUAGAGUUUGAUCCUGGCUCAGAUUGAACGCUGGCGGCAUGCCUAACACAUGCAAGUCGAACGGAGGUAGGGGCAACUCUACUUCAGUGGCGGACGGGUGAGGAAUGCGUCGGAAUCUACCCUAUGGUGGGGGAUAACACAGGGAAACUUGUGCUAAUACCGCAUGAUGUCGAGAGACCAAAGCAGGGGACCGCAAGGCCUUGCGCGAUAGGAUGAGCCGACGCCCGAUUAGCUAGUUGGUAGGGUAAUGGCCUACCAAGGCGACGAUCGGUAGCUGGUCUGAGAGGAUGAUCAGCCACACUGGGACUGAGACACGGCCCAGACUCCUACGGGAGGCAGCAGUGGGGAAUAUUGGACAAUGGGCGCAAGCCUGAUCCAGCAAUGCCGCGUGUGUGAAGAAGGCCUGCGGGUUGUAAAGCACUUUUGUUCGGGAAGAAAACGGAUCGGUUAAUACCCGGUUCGGAUGACGGUACCGAAAGAAUAAGCACCGGCUAACUUCGUGCCAGCAGCCGCGGUAAUAAU
rnacentral:rRNA from 1 species